rnacentral:rRNA from 1 species
UACGUAGGGGGCGAGCGUUGUCCGGAAUUAUUGGGCGUAAAGGGCGCGCAGGCGGUUCUUUAAGUCAGGUGUAUAAGCCCGGGGCUCAACUCCGGGACGCACCUGAAACUGGGGGACUGGAGUGCAGGAGAGGAGAGCGGAAUUCCACGUGUAGCGGUGAAAUGCGUAGAGAUGUGGAGGAACACCAGUGGCGAAGGCGGCUCUCUGGCCUGUAACUGACGCUGAGGCGCGAAAGCGUGGGGAGCAAACA